rnacentral:rRNA from 1 species
UACGUAGGAUGCAAGCGUUGUCCGGAAUUAUUGGGCGUAAAGAGCGCGCAGGCGGUAUGACAAGUCAGAUGUGAAAGAGGCCGGCUUAACCGGCAAGGGUCAUUUGAACUGAUCAACUAGAGUGCAGCAGAGGAUAGUGGAAUUCCCGGUGUAGUGGUGAAAUGCGUGAGAUAGUCGGGAGGAACACCAGUGGCGAAGGCGACUAUCUGGGCUGCAACUGACGCUGAGGCGCGAAGGCUAGGGUAGCAAACAGG